rnacentral:tRNA from 1 species
CAAAAGAUAGUUUAAGAAAAAUGCCGGUUUUGGGGGCCGGUGAUGGAUGUUUGAGUCUUCUUCUUUUGA